CGGGGGGCUGCAGCAGUGGGGAAUAUUGCACAAUGGAGGAAACUCUGAUGCAGCAACGCCGCGUGGAGGAUGACACUUUUCGGAGCGUAAACUCCUUUUAUAUAGGAAGAAGAUGACGGUACUAUAUGAAUAAGCGCCGGCUAACUCCGUGCCAGCAGCCGCGGUAAUACGGAGGGCGCAAGCGUUACUCGGAAUCACUGGGCGUAAAGAGCGUGUAGGCGGAUUAAAAAGUCAGAAGUGAAAUCCUAUAGCUUAGCUAUAGAACUGCUUCUGAAACUCUUAAUCUAGAAUAUGGGAGAGGUAGAUGGAAUUUCUGGUGUAGGGGUAAAAUCCGUAGAGAUCAGAAGGAAUACCGAUUGCGAAGGCGAUCUACUAGAACAUUAUUGACGCUGAGACGCGAAAGCGUGGGGAGCAAACAGGAUUAGAUACCCUGGUAGUC
rnacentral:rRNA from 1 species